AUUUAAAGCAAAAUUAUAAAGAUUAAUUAUAUAAUAUUUUAAUUGUAUAAGUAGAUUGUCAUGAAAUUAAAAGUUGAGUACUACAUUUCUUUAAAGAAAAAGAUAUAAAAGUUAAUUUUAUUAAAAGUAAGGGAACUUAAGGUAAUUUAGCUUUUAUUUUUGUUUAAAGAACUAUUAUACCCCUAAUCUUUUUCAAAAUCUCAAGGGGGCCCAAUGCCCCUCUUGGCCCCUUAGUGGCUCCGUCCCUGGUUACUUACCAAUGUAGCAUAAUUCCA
rnacentral:misc_RNA from 1 species